rnacentral:rRNA from 1 species
AGUUUGAUCCUGGCUCAAGAGGACCUCUUGCGGCGUGCUUAACACAUGCAAGUCAAACGGAAAAUAUUUCAUUGAGACUUCGGUGGAUUUGAUCUAUUUCUAGAGGCGGACGGGUGAGUAACGCGUGGGCAACCUGCCUUAUACAGGGGGAUAACAGUCAGAAAUGGCUGCUAAUACCGCAUAACCGCACAGAGCUGCGUGGCUCAGUGUGAAAAACUCUGGUGGUAUAAGAUGGACCCGCGUUGGAUUAGCUAGUUGGUGAGGUAACGGCCUACCAAGGCAACAAUCCAUAGCCGGCCUGAGAGGGUGAAACGGCCACAUUGGGACUGAGACACGGCCCAGACUCCUACGGGAGGCAGCAGUGGGGAAUAUUGCACAAUGGGGGAAACCCUGAUGCAGCGACGCCGCGUGAAAGAAGAAGUAUCACGGUAUGUAAACUUCUAUCAGCAGGGAAGAUAGUGACGGUACCUGACUAAGAAGCCCCGGCUAACUACGUGCCAGCAGCCGCGGUAAUACGUAGGGGGCAAGCGUUAUCCGGAUUUACUGGGUGUAAAGGGAGCGUAGACGGUGUGGCAAGUCUGAUGUGAAAGGCAUGGGCUCAACCUGUGGACUGCAUUGGAAACUGUCAUACUUGAGUGCCGGAGGGGUAAGCGGAAUUCCUAGUGUAGCGGUGAAAUGCGUAGAUAUUAGGAGGAACACCAGUGGCGAAGGCGGCUUACUGGACGGUAACUGACGUUGAGGCUCGAAAGCGUGGGGAGCAAAC